UUGUCUCUCUUGAGUGGAUCCUGAGUACGACGGAGCACGUGAAAUUCCGUCGGAAUCUGGGAGGACCAUCUCCUAAGGCUAAAUACUCUCUAGUGACCGAUAGUGAACCAGUACCGUGAGGGAAAGGUGAAAAGCACCCCGGAAGGGGAGUGAAAUAGAACCUGAAACCGUGUGCUUACAAGUAGUCAGAGCCCGUUAAUGGGUGAUGGCGUGCCUUUUGUAGAAUGAACCGGCGAGUUACGAUUUGAUGCAAGGUUAAGCAGUAAAUGUGGAGCCGUAGCGAAAGCGAGUCUGAAUAGGGCGUUUAGUAUUUGGUCGUAGACCCGAAACCAGGUGAUCUACCCUUGGUCAGGUUGAAGUUCAGGUAACACUGAAUGGAGGACCGAACCGACUUACGUUGAAAAGUGAGCGGAUGAACUGAGGGUAGCGGAGAAAUUCCAAUCGAACCUGGAGAUAGCUGGUUCUCUCCGAAAUAGCUUUAGGGC
rnacentral:rRNA from 1 species